rnacentral:rRNA from 1 species
UACGAAGGGUGCAAACGUUGCUCGGAAUUAUUGGGCGUAAAGCGCACGUAGGCGGCUCCGUAAGUCGGAUGUGAAAUCCCUCGGCUUAACCGAGGACGUGCAUCCGAAACUGUGGAGCUCGAGUAUGGAAGAGGGUCGCAGAAUUCCCGGUGUAGAGGUGAAAUUCGUAGAUAUCGGGAGGAAUACCAGUGGCGAAGGCGGCGACCUGGGCCAAUACUGACGCUGAGGUGCGAAAGCGUGGGGAGCGAACAGG